UUCCAGCUGAAGACCAGCAUGCCCGCAAGAAGUCUAACCCUCUCCUGGUCUUUCUAAGAAAGGCAUCUUGAAUGAAGGCCAGAAAUUAGGUGCUUUGGAACCAGGACUUUUUACAGCAACAAGUGUGUAUCAGUGUAAGUUUCAACUACAUAUAAAGACCCCAAAUGAAAGCAGCUUAAACAAACUUGUGUGGUGGUUCCUUGGUGUCAUUAUGGAGCAAGACUGUGUCAUUCUCAGUAGGUGACUUCCAUUCUCAAGGCCAGCUCAUGGUCUAGGAGGGCUGCUGGAGCUCCAACCAUCACACCUGCAUUCCAGACAAAGUAAGGAGGAAGGGAAAAGGAAGUGAAAGGGUAUACCUUCAUUGUUUUAAGAUGUCUUUGAAGUCUCACGUUGCAUUUCUGCUUCAAUUCUAUUGGUCAGAACUUACUUUCACAGCUGCUUGUAGCUGCAAGGACUACUGGGAAGUAGGAUCUUUUCACUGGAUGGCAAUAAGUCUAGCUAAAAAUUUAAGAUUUUCAAUAAGAAAAAAAUGAUAGUGGAAGACCACAGCAUUCUCUCCCACAAGGAGAAAACACCAAUGUAGAUAUCCUUGAUGUUGGGUGGCAUUAACUUGCUCUAGAGUUGGCAGUUCCUCUGGUUGAAGCACUGGUAUCUGCCGUAUUGCUGCAAGAACUGAUCAGUUUGCUACUGUGAAUAUCAGAAGUCAUCCCAUAGUGACCUAGAGUGGAGAGGAGAAACAGGAUGCACAUUGAUGGUUGCCAAGAAAAAUAAUAUGUAGGCACAAUCGGACCCUAGCAGGAGGCUCCCAGAGAGCCCCACCGAGUCUGUUAGGAUUAAACUAGGGAACUACUGUA
rnacentral:lncRNA from 1 species